rnacentral:tRNA from 4 species
GGGCCCGUAGCUCAGCGGCAGAGCGCGCGGCUCAUAACCGCUUGGUCGAAGGUUCGAAUCCUUCCGGGCCCACAA